CUCUCUUCCCUGCCUCCCCUCGCGCCGCCGGCCAUCCUCCCCGUCCGCCGCCGCCGGCCAUCCUCCCCGUCCGCCGCCGCCGGCCAUCCUCCCCGUCCGCCGCCGCCACUGACCAGCCACAGCUGCGCUACCAUCCCCUCCCCUUACCUCGAUUCAGAUCCUCUCCUCUGCUCUUCUCUUGUUCCUUCUCUCCUGACCCCCUCACUUGUUUGUUCGAUCUAGAGCAGCAGCCACCCUCCAUGGACGAGGACGACCACCACAGCAACGACGGCGCCCCUCACAUGGUCGAGCUCGACGGAAGAGUGCUCGCCAUGGCCGCGUUCGUCUGCUCCGGUGUGGUGCAGCCGAGGUUGGCCAACGACGAGGUCGUGUACCACCGCCUCGAUGGCUCCUAGCGCGGGUAAGCAAGGCAGCACCCCCAUCCCCAUGGUCGUUUCAGUUUUCAUAGGCUCCUUCUUCUUUUUGUGUGCUGAUGACACCUGCUCUUCUCCAUGGAGUUGACAAGAUGGAGAUCCUUGCCAUAUCUUAUAUUCUUUAGUUGUCAAAUGUUCACUCAGCUAUUCAGAUUGCUGCAUCUUGUCUUCCAGUUUUUCUUCAUAUUAAUCCAUGCUAUGGAUUAUGACAAAUAGAGCCGACAAUUUGUGCCUUAUAACUAUGGGGUCAGGAUGGUAUUUAUGCAUCUACUGAUACUGUUUGUGUUUGCAGUUUAGAAUCUUAACGCUUGAUAUUGACUUUCCAGGGGAUGUAUUUCUAAUGUCCAGGUAAACCGGUUUACAAUGCAGAGGUCCCUUCACACUACAGGAAAGUGACAAUCAGUAAAAGUUAAGGUCAGACUUUGGAGAAGGUAAACAUGUAUUCUACAUAUGGUUACUUUUAUGUGCUUUUAGAUAUAUGCAGUUUCUUGGGUGACUAAGAUGGUGUAGAGGCUCUGCCAGGAUUAUUUGUAUUUUCUGCCACCAAAUAAGCUGUUACAAAAGGAUAACAAAUGCAAUAUCUGUUCUGACCAAGCUGAGUUCAAAAUUAACUAUAAGAACAGACAUUUACCAAUAAGGAAAUCUGAUAGGUUAUGUGUUGUUAUCGUGUAAAAUAGCAGCAAGACAUCACUACUGAGAGAUAUUUAUGCCUGCAUCAUGAUAGGUCUCCUUCCAAGUUAGUUGACCUGUUUUUUCGAUCCCAAGUUUAUUGGCCUGUUUUUUUGUCCUUCCGAGGUUAUUAUUCAGUUUUUUGUGCAUGCUGAACUGGCAUAUUUAGUGGCGAGUUUGGUGCUUCUAUCACUGUGUUCUUCGAGAAUCUCAUCAUAUCUCUCUAUCCUAGGAAUUAUAUGACCACUUCCAUGGAAAAUAACAUUUAAGAGAAACUUCAUCACAAACUGUCUUUGGUGUGAUAUUUAUAGACUGUCUCCCACAACAGAUUAUUGACAUCACAAUUGAGAGAAGCUUUGAUUUCACUAUAUUCUUCCUUUUGAAAUUAAUAUUUUUUGUAGACAACAACACUACUCAUUUUAGUGGAGGAGGCAGCGACUCUGACAGUUUGGAGAGUUAACACAUCUGGUUGCAGGGCGUUAGAGGAUUUGAGUAGAGGCUGGCGAGUGGUGUCCACAGAUUGUACAGCGACCAAGCGGCGUGAAGAAUCAAUGUGGAUCUAUCAUUACCAUAUGGACUAGGUAUGUAAAGUUAUUCCUCUGGUAUGCUUUAUUGUGGCCAUACGGCCUUUUAUGUUUCAUUCCUUUUGUAUUUCUGUCAACAGAAAAUGUAGAGCCGCACCUUAAUUGUCAUGGUGAUGUUGGAUGGCAUGGCAGUUGUCCAGUUCUAUUAUUUUAAGAAGUCAAUGUGUGUAUAUCUGACAAAGUGAUAAUCACAUUAGACUAAAAAGCUUAGAAGUAGAGUUUAAAAGAAAAUUCAGAAGCAUUGGAGGCUCAUGCUUGUACUAUCAUGUUUUAUGCUCCAGUUAGGAGUGGUGUUUCUAAAAUAGAGAUUAUUGAUUUUCACAUAUAUAACCUGUGUUCAUAGUAGCAUCCCUGUCUCAUUCUUUCUUUUCCAUUUUCUUCUCCCUCUAAAUUGUGGAUCUCCUAUUCAAAUUAGUAAUCUUUUCAACUCUUUUUAUAACUUCGCAGGUUUCAGAAAUAAGAUGUUUGCUUUAUUGAACUAAGAUGUUCUCUUUUUGAGAGAGUAUUGCGCUAAGAUGUUUUAUAUUCCUUGGAUACAAGCUCCGUGAACCAUUCAUGUAGUUACCAAUUUUAGACAGAUUUUGUUUCAGUUACGAAGGUUUAGAGGGAUACAUGAAUGAUCUGGAGUUUCAGUUAUCAUUUGAGCUACUUCCCCAUUCGUAUUCUUAACACUAAUACAUCCUAUUAAUAUUAAUUAAUUAUGAUGCUGCCAUGUUCAUUUCUGCCCUUGGAGGGAGAUGGACUUAUGGUGCUGCCAGCGCAGCACUUAAGGGCUUGGAGGUUGACAAGGCGAAAGAGGCCUGUUGUCAGCCACCAAAUUAUGAUGUUGAGUACUGCCCGAGCGGAAGAUAGCAAGGCGGUUGACGUAGGACACGGAGUAAGCAGAGCUAGCGGCAGUGGACGCAGCUACCACGUCGGUGGGCGCACCAGAGGCACAACACAAGGUGGAUCAUCGAGGAUGUAGUGCACAUCAAAGCAGUCGCCGUCCCGCGGUAAUACAUGACAUGUUAGGCUGUUACUCGCUAGCAGCAGAAAUAUUCAGCUUAUUCAUGCGGUAACAGCAGGGUCUGUUGCGCUGAAUCUUUGAGAUGAAACCAAACCAAACUAAUACAUACCUAGCAUCCGUCCAGAAGUCUUGAUUACGGAAUAUAUAUGGCCCCAUUUUAAGUUUCAGAGGAUAUACUCGAAUAUCUGUUGUUUUGUAGGGAUUUGAAAAAAAAAAGAAAAGAAAAAGCACUUAUAAUAAGGCAAUGGCUUCGUGAGAAAGCACAAGAAAUAUCGUUGCGCGGCAGCAAGGCAUACCUUAAUUUGCUUCAUGGUGAACUGGAAAUGUGCUUCUAUGUCAAACUGAAAAAAUAUAUAUGUUGUCAGGCUCGCAAUUAAUAAAGAUAUACUUUCAGCAGGUCAGGCUAGGAAUUAAUAAAGUUAUACUUGUUGAAAGUGACGCUAGAAACAACAAAAGGCUAUUUGGGUUAGAUAAAUGUCAUUGGAGUCUGAGAAGGUUGCACAAACACGAACCAGAUUAGAAGUAGGUCGGCAUAAAUUUUGUGUUUUUGUGAAGUUAAAUAAAAUUGACAUCAUAUAUACUAACGCGUAGUUCUUCUACUGUAUGCAGGACAUUCAAAAGGCAGUGACUGUUGCCUCUGCUGUAUCGACGACCCUGAUCAUGUUGGACAGAUAAAUAAGAUAUUACUACUCCCUCCGUUCCUAAAUAUUUGUCUUUCUAGAGAUUUCAAAUGGCUACCACAUACGGAUGUAUAUAGACAUAUUUUAGAGU
rnacentral:lncRNA from 1 species